rnacentral:rRNA from 1 species
GACGAACGCUGGCGGCGUGCUUAACACAUGCAAGUCGAACGGAAAGGCCCUGCUUUUGUGGGGUGCUCGAGUGGCGAACGGGUGAGUAACACGUGAGUAACCUGCCCUUGACUUUGGGAUAACUUCAGGAAACUGGGGCUAAUACCGGAUAGGAGCUCCUGCUGCAUGGUGGGGGUUGGAAAGUUUCGGCGGUUGGGGAUGGACUCGCGGCUUAUCAGCUUGUUGGUGGGGUAGUGGCUUACCAAGGCUUUGACGGGUAGCCGGCCUGAGAGGGUGACCGGCCACAUGGGGCCUGAGAUACGGCCCAGACUCCUACGGGAGGCAGCAGUGGGGAAUAUUGCACAAUGGGCGGAAGCCUGAUGCAGCAACGCCGCGUGCGGGAUGACGGCCUUCGGGUUGUAAACCGCUUUCGCCUGUGACGAAGCGUGAGUGACGGUAAUGGGAAAAGAAGCACCGGCUAACUACGU